GUGAUUCUUGUCAAAUGUAUUAUUUAGUAUAUGUAUAAAAUGGUUUACAAAGAUUUUUCAAAGUCUGAAUGCCAGUUACUGCUGAACUUUGGCAACUCAACUAGUUUCUGUGAACUCACACUUCAUGAGCAAACUUGGAGACCACCAGAAUGUCAGUAAACAGUAUUACUGGUAUAAUUUUGAGUGAGAAGUGGCUCCAUCCUCACUGGGGAACAAAUGGAGGGCCCAUUGGAGGGGCAAGUGUGGAAACGGUCACAGUUUAAUUUUUAGAAGGGAUGCAAGAAAUCCUUUAGAUUAGAAAUCCCAGAGUUUGAGGAAAUCCUGUCUCCUCAUAGGAUAAAAGAUUCUAAUAACCUCUUAACUCCCUAGCUCAUUCCAAUUUAAAAAUCAUUCUCAUUCUUAACUAAUGGCAAAACUCAGUAUCUUGCAGAUGUAUUCAGAGGGAGCAAAACAGUUAGGAACUGUUUAAUCUUCCUGGCUCUUUGUUUCCCCUUUAUUUUAAUUUUUUACUGACUUAUAGUUUUAUGUAUUUAUGAGGCCUGGUCUCAUAAUUCUGUAUAUGUAUGCCAUAUUUUAUGAUCAAAUCAGGAUAAUGCGUAUUUACAUUUCCUUAAACAUUUAUCAUUUCUUCAUUUUGGGGCACUUGUAACUUCUCUUUCCAACUCUUAUAAAAUACAUAAUAAGUUGUUAUGAAUUGUAUUGUCUCACUUGUAAAAUAAGGAAACUGGAGCCCAUAGAACUCCUAUCGAGAGAGGCAGAAUAAGGUCUUCUUACUGUGUCAUUUGAAAGUGGUAGCUAGUAUGGACCCAGACAGCUCUGAGACAUUAAGUCACAACCUUCAAGAAGUGGCCAGGUAACCAGGGAUCACCAGUUAUAGUGCAGAAGAGAAGACUAUGGAGCUGGUGAGAUGAUGGAAGAAACUGCAUGCUGGAGCAGAUUCAGAAGUUAUAAGGGUAGGAGCAGCUCAUUUGCUGGAAAAUAAGUGGUUUUAUCUGUGCCCACGAUAGUUAAGGAAGAGAUUGUGACCUUUAAUUCUGAUAUCUUCCAGUUACUAAAAUAACUUCUUACUUCAAAAGAUGAUAAAUGUGUAAAAGAGAUCCCUACUAGUAUAGUUAAAUUCACAAUGGAAUCAUUUAUGUUUAAGAAGAGGCCUGACUUGAGUGGGCAUACCAUGAUGUCCUCACAGUCACCGGUCCUUUAUCUAUUUCUU